ensembl:lncRNA
AUGAACUGGGAACAGAAGGGAGAUGGACUGGGAUGGACUGGUCCAUACAGGUCUGAACUGGUCUGUAUUGGUCUGUACAGGUCCAUACUGGUUUAUACUGGUCUAUACUGGUCCAUACUGGUCUAUAUGGGUUUAUACCAGUCCACACUGAUCUAUACUGGUUUAUACAGGUCCAUACUGGUUUAUACUGGUCUGUACUGGUCCAUACUGGUUUAUACUGGUCUGUAUGGUCCAUACUGGUCCAUACUGGUCUAUACUGGUCCAUACAGGCCCAUACUGGUCCAUACUGGUCUAUACUGGUCUAUACUGGUCCAUACUGGUCCAUACUGGUUUACACUGGUCUGUAUGGUCUAUACUGGUCCAUACUGGUCCAUACUGGUCCGUACUGGUCCGUACUGGUCCAUACUGGUCUGUACAGGCCCAUACUGGUUCACACUGGUCCAUACAAGUCCAUACUGGUUUAUACUGUCUGUACUGGUCCAUACUGGUCUGUACUGGUCUGUAUGGUCCAUACUGGUCCAUACUGGUCUGUACUGGUCCGUACUGGUCUGUACUGGUCUGUACUGGUCUAUACUGGUCCAUACUGGUCCAUACUGGUUUAUACUGUCCAUGCUGGUCCCUACAGGUCCAUACUGGUCCAUACUGGUUUACACUGGUCUGUACUGGUCUAUACUGGUCUGUACAGGUCCAUACUGGACUGUACAGGUCCAUACUGGUCUUUACUGGUCCGUACUGGUCCAUACUGGUUUAUACUGUCUGUACCAGUCCAUACUGGUCCAUACUGGUUUAUACUGGUCCAUACUGGGACUCACCGUGCCACCCUCGGGCCGGGCUCCCCAGCACCAGCGCUGCAGCCGGGGGGGCUUGUGGGGGGGGUCUGGGGACAGAGGGGACACCGUCAGAGGGGGGGGGGACAUUGGGGACACCCCCCAGGUGACACCAGGGGACACUGGGGACACCCCAGGGGACACCAGGGGACAUUGGGGACACCCCAGGGGACACCAGGGGACAUUGGGGACACCCCAGGGGACAUUUGGGGACAUUGGGGACACCCAGGUGACAUUUGGGGACACCCCAGGGGACACCAGGACACCCCCAGGUGACAUUGGGGACACCCCAGCUGACAUUUGGGACCCCCAGAUGACAUCAGGACCCCCCAGAUGACAUUUGGGACCCCCCAGGUGACACCAGGACACCCCAGGUGACAUUUGGGACCCCCCAGGUGACAUCGGGGACACCCACAGGUGACAUCAGGGACCCCCCAGGUGACAUCAGGGACCCCCCAGGUGACAUUGGGGACACCCCCAGGUGACAUUGGGGACCCCCCAGGUGACAUCGGGGACACCCCCAGGUGACAUUUAGGACCCCCAGGUGACAUCAGGACCCCCCAGGUGACACCAGGACACCCCCCAGGUGACAUCAGGACCCCCCAGGUGACAUUGGGGACCCCCCAGGUGACAUCAGGGACCCCCCAGGUGACAUUGAGGACACCCACAGGGGACACCAGGUGACAUUGGGGACCCCCCAGGUGACAUUGGGGACCCCCAGGUGACAUUGGGACCCCCCAGGUGACAUCAGGACACCCCAGGUGACAUCAGGACCCCCCAGGUGACAUUGGGGACACCCCAGGUGACAUCAGGACCCCCCAGGUGACAUUUGGGACCCCACAGGUGACAUUGAGGACCCACAGGUGACAUUGGGACACCCCAGGUGACAUCAGGGCCCCCCAGGUGACAUCAGGGACCCCCCAGGUGACAUCAGGGACACUCCCAGGUGACAUUGGGGACCCCCCAGGUGACAUCAGGACACCCCAGGUGACAUCAGGACCCCCCAGGUGACAUUGGGGACACCCCAGGUGACAUCAGGACCCCCCAGGUGACAUUUGGGACCCCACAGGUGACAUUGAGGACCCACAGGUGACAUUGGGACACCCCAGGUGACAUCAGGGCCCCCCAGGUGACAUCAGGGACCCCCCAGGUGACAUCAGGGACACUCCCAGGUGACAUUGGGGACCCCCCAGGUGACACCAGG